AUGUAAUGAUGAACUAUAUGUCUUUCUCCACUGACUUUCUAUGUUGUUCAAAGCAUUUUAAUACUGAUUCAUA